AUUGAACGCUGGCGGCAGGCCUAACACAUGCAAGUCGAACGAGUGGCGGACGGGUGAGUAAUGUCUGGGAAACUGCCUGAUGGAGGGGGAUAAGUACUGGAAACGGUAGCUAAUACCGCAUACCAUCGGAUGUGCCCAGAUGGGAUUAGCUAGUAGGUGGGGUAAAGGCUCACCUAGGCGACUAUCCCUAGCUGGUCUGAGAGGAUGACCAGCCACGCGGGAACUGAGACACGGUCCAGAUUCCUACGGGAGGCAGCAGUGGGGAAUAUUGCACAAUGGGCGCGAGCCGGAUGCAGCCAUGCCGCGUGUAUGAAGUAGGCCUUCGGGUUGUAAAGUACUGUCAGCGGGAAGGCGUUACCCGCAGAAGAAGCACCGGCUAACUCCGUGCCAGCCGCCGCGGUAAUUC
rnacentral:rRNA from 1 species